GACGAACGCUGGCGGCGUGCUUAACACUUGCAAGUCGAACGGAAAGGCCCUGCUUUUGUGGGGUGCUCGAGUGGCGAACGGGUGAGUAACACGUGAGUAACCUGCCCUUGACUUUGGGAUAACUUCAGGAAACUGGGGCUAAUACCGGAUAGGAGCUCCUGCUGCAUGGUGGGGGUUGGAAAGUUUCGGCGGUUGGGGAUGGACUCGCGGCUUAUCAGCUUGUUGGUGGGGUAGUGGCUUACCAAGGCUUUGACGGGUAGCCGGCCUGAGAGGGUGACCGGCGACAAGGGGACUGAGAGACGGCCCAGACUGCUACGGGAGGCAGCAGGGGGGAAUCUUGCACAAUGGGCGCAAGUCUGAUGAAGCAACGCUGCGGGCGGGAUGACGGUUUUUGGGUUGUAAACCGCUUCAGGCUGUGACGACGCGUGAGUGACGGUACUGGGUAAAGAAGCACCGGCUAACUACGUG
rnacentral:rRNA from 1 species